UACAGAGGGGGCAAGCGUUAUUCGGAAUUAUUGGGCGUAAAGGGCGCGUAGGCGGCCUGGCAAGUGGAAGGUGAAAUCCCUCGGCUUAACCGAGGAACUGCCCUCCAAACUGCUUGGCUUGAGUCCGGGAGAGGUGAGUGGAAUUCCCGAGUGUAGCGGUGAAAUGCGUAGAUAUUGGGAGGAACACCAGUGGCGAAGGCGGCUCACUGGACCGGAACUGACGCUGAGGCGCGAAAGCGUGGGGAGCAA
rnacentral:rRNA from 1 species